ensembl:lncRNA
GGGGAAAUCAGGCUGUUUUCGCCGCCGGGGCCAGCCCGCUUCCCCUCGGGGUCUCGGCCACACCGGGACCGGGAGGCAGCGGCGCUGGGGCCGGGUGGCAGCGGGUGGCCGGGGGGGGACAAAGUCCAGCGGGGAGAGCCGUGAGAGCUGCCCGGGUGGCACGGGUCGGGGGGAAGGUGCGAGAAAGCCCGAGCGAGAGGCUGGAAGCGCUGCUCCGCCGGGCUCGAGAGGUUAAUAAAUACACCCGUCCCCUCUCCCCUGCCCGCCCGAGGCUAAGACUCGCAGCUCAGCGGGUAAUUGACAGUCUCGAUCCAAAAUUGAAACAUGUGUUAACAACAACGCCACGCAUCCGAGGAGCUACCCGGGAGAUCGCCACCUCACGGUCUUUAUAUAUUAUUUGAAUCCACCGGAGGGAAGUGUCACGAGGUUUUCCGAGCACGUUUCACCCCUACCUGUAAAUCAACUCUUAUCACUGCUGGCUGCUCGGGCAGGGGCAGCCUCCGCUUUAUAAAGCAGCAGGAGGAGAGCCGGUCCUCCCUCUCGGCGCUGCUGCCACGCCGCCCCCAGGCAAAGCCCGCCCGGCCCGGCCCGACCCUUCCCGAUUCUCGCCCCCUCGGCGUGUCCCCACGCGUGUCCGGCAGCGGGCGGGGACGCGUCGAGCCGCCGGCCGGGCUGCUCGCCUUCACGGAGACGUGGCUCGCCGGGGACGUGCUCGCACACCCACAGCGGGGUGGAGGAGGCGCCCCCUCCCCCGACACCCCUUUAACCGCGCCCCACACUUUAAGGGAAUUCGCUGUCCCCGCAGGAGAGACCGCGCCAGGGCAGGGAAAGCGCAAACUUGCGCCGGAGCGCUCGGACGUGCAGAGGCAGGACAGCGCUGGCAGGGUUCCCCGGCAAGGGCAGGUCUCCAGGGCCCACAGCCGCCAGCUCCAUCCCUCCCCCCGCCGUCCCCACCGGCCCCUUUCCCCUCCGCCAGCCCCGGCGAGGAGCGGCCCCGGCCCCGGGGAAGCACCGGGAGCCCCCCGCGGGCAGAGCCGGCUCCGAGCCCCGCUCCGGAGGUCAGGGCCGGCGGGGGCAGGCAGAUGGAAAAUCCCAGUUCCUGCCGCACAUAACAAACAAGUAGGACGAGAUGGAUCUGGAAAGCAGGGUUUGCCUUUCUGGUUGUGUUCCUACAAAUCCACGUGCGAGAGGUGGAACAACAUCAGCCUGAAGUCACUGCACUCCUCCCCUGCCUUCCUGCAGGCUGCAGCUCAGCUGGGACCCUGGGCAUCGCCCCUGCAACCUGUCCCCCCAGGGAAAUACAAAGACCGGUGAUCUCUGCGCCUCUGGGCUAUUGACGGACACAAAAGACUGGUUUAGCACUUUCAUUUCCAUGCUGGGAAUUGGGGGAUUAAAAUGCCACUAUCUCCUGAUUGUGUUGUUUUUUAUGCAGGCCCCAUGUAAACACUACACCAGACAACAAACCACUGUUAAUAAAAAUUGCUAAUUAGAUGAGGACAGUGGCUUGUUUUAUUUACAGAAGUAUUUAUAGGCUUUCUGCUUUCUUGUAUUUUUCAAGGCUCUGUAUAUUUUGCAUUUGCUUUUUACACUUCGUCCCUGCUUGUCCUUCUAACUAUUUCUUGAGAGGGCUUUUUUUUUUCGUUGUUGUUUUAACCACCCUGAGUCAGACAUAAGGAUCUGCUUUAUAUUAAGCCUGUUCUAUUCUUGAAAGAGCUUCUCCAACACAACACAAUUUUGGAGUUCAUAGAAAACCCACACAUUUGUUAAAUCUAUCUUUUACAAUGUGUUAGUAGCCAAGAUAGCAUGUACUCUGGGAUAAGACUUGGCUUUUUAGCACACAUUUGUCUAUCUCCUCAAGAAACGGGGCCUUAAACCCUGACUGAAAGGAAUUUUUAUUCAGCCAAGCUUAUCUCUGUUAAUUCAGGAUAUGCAGUUGACUUUCAGAUAAAGAAAGGCACCCAAACUGCAGCUCAGCGAGGGACUCCAAUACAUCCAGUCAUCCUUCUGCCCGACGUGCAGACCGCUGUCCUCCAAUUAUUAGCACGUACCAUUAAUUCUGCGUGAAGCCACACCGGGCUGAAAUGACAAAAGCAGCAGGAAGAUGAUGUCAGCUGGAGUGCCGCACUGCUUUAUUCCCCAGAAGGCUCCCCCCGUGGUAGCGAGGUCUGAGCAUCGUGUCAGCAGGAGAAGUUUCCCUGGCAGAGCGUACCCCAAGGACCUGACACCGCUGCUGGUUGCCGUGGAAGUUACAGGCUCGCUCUAAAUCAACUUCUCCAGGUCUCCCAUAUGCUGUAGGCUACCCAGCCUGCCUUCCCACUCAGAUACGCUGACAUGUGCCCUGGCUUCUGCCUGUGCAAGGUUUUAUUCCAGAAGGCACCAAAGCCUGUUACCACCUUCCCAUCACCGCCCUUGGGUGGCUAUAAAGGGGAAACCCACGUUAUUGCCAUAAGAUGUGCUUUGCAGAUUGAUCUGGAGUAAACACAGGGUGGGAAUACAGGGAUAUCGUUGAGCCAGCACUAUUGAGAAUGUAAACAAAAUUGAAUGGGAGUGA